AAGUCGUAACAAGGUUUCCGUAGGUGAACCUGCGGAAGGAUCAUUAACGUAUCUCCGACGGGGUGCGGCGAGCCCUGCUCCGGCCAAAUGGCCGUGCAGCGGGUUCCCGUCUCCGUUCGCACCUUACAAACCCACUGUGAACCUUCACGGCGGACGGGAGGCGACUCCCCGAGGCCGCAUAUACCAAACUCCAGUAGCAAAGAAUGUCGUGCGGACUUUGUGCCGCCUAAAACACGAAACAACUUUCAACAACGGAUCUCUUGGCUCUC
rnacentral:misc_RNA from 1 species